GGGGAUUCUGUGUUUGAAAGACAGAAGAGAAGUGCCAGGGCAGUCAGAGCUGGCGCGAGAGUGCUGUGCAGGCUCUAUAAAGACAACGUGGUAACAAUAAAAGAUAACAGAGGAAGAGGAAGUACAAAGUGUGGAAACUCAGAAGGGAGCCACGUGCCUAUGUGAAGAGGGUAUUGGGCCAGUGCACUGAGGCACGCGUGUACGCGCAUACUCAUGAGCGCCUGUGUUGCGGAAGUUUCAUCUGUACAAAAAGGAGAUCUGGUUAGCUUCUGCUGAGACUUUUCAGUAGAAAAUGCUUCAAAAAAGAAAAGAAAGGAGCAGCUAUUUUGAAGACUGACUUUCUUAAAUUACAUUUAGAUAGCUUUUUCCAGGCCAUGCGGAGCAUAGCUCUUGGUAACUUUGGUCUCUCAUCUCAUCCUAGCAGCCCUUCUACCAGCAAAGAAAGAUUUCUUCCCCUUUGGCUCCAGCCACAAGAAUGACUUGCACUGCAUCAACGAAGACAGUGAUGGUUCAGGCUGCUGGAAUAGUGAUGUGAUUUUGGAAUACAGGUGAGGCUUGAUGGGAUGGAGUCCGGAGCCAUAGACCAAGAAAGAAUUCUUGAGGCGUCUAUGGUGCA
rnacentral:lncRNA from 1 species